rnacentral:rRNA from 1 species
AUGGGUUCCGUCUCCUACGUCCUGGCGGCGGCCGUCCUGGCGGCGCUGGUCUCCGGCGGCGCGUGCAUCCCGAGGGUACCGCCGGGCCCCAACAUCACCACCAACUACAACAACCAGUGGCUCUCCGCCAAGGCCACCUGGUACGGCAAGCCCACCGGCUCCGGCCCCAAAGACAACGGCGGCGCGUGCGGGAUCAAGGACGUGAACCUGGCUCCCUACAACGGCAUGAUCGCCUGCGGCAACGUCCCCAUCUUCAAGGACGGCAAGGGAUGCGGCUCCUGCUACGAGAUCAAGUGCCAGAAGCCUUCGCCGUGCUCCGACAAGCCCAUCACCAUCUUCAUCACCGACAAGAACUACGAGCCCAUCGCGCCGUACCACAUCGACCUCUCCGGCAAGGCCUUCGGCGCCAUGGCCCCGCCCGGGAAGGAGCAGACGCUCCGGUCCUUCGGGGAGCUGGAGCUGCAGUUCAGGAGGGUGCGCUGCAAGUACGCGCCCGGCACCAAGAUCACCUUCCACGUCGAGAAGGGCUCCAACCCCAACUACCUGGCCGUGCUCGUCAAGUUCGUCUCCGACGACGGCGACGUCGUGCAGAUGGACAUCCAGGAGAGCAAGUCGCCCGCGUGGAUACCGCUGACCUUGUCGUGGGGCGCCAUCUGGAGGUGGGACGGCGCCAAGCCGCUCAAGGCCCCCUUCUCCAUCCGCGUCACCAGCGAGUCCGGCAAGAAGCUCAUCGCCAAGGACGUCAUCCCCGCCAACUGGAAGGCCGACACCGUCUACCCGUCAAGUGUCCAGUUCUAG